UACAGAGGGGGCUAGCGUUGUUCGGAAUUACUGGGCGUAAAGGGCUCGUAGGCGGCCAACUAAGUCAGACGUGAAAUCCCUCGGCUUAACCGGGGAACUGCAUCUGAUACUGGAUGGCUUGAGUUCGGGAGAGGGAUGCGGAAUUCCAGGUGUAGCGGUGAAAUGCGUAGAUAUCUGGAGGAACACCGGUGGCGAAGGCGGCAUCCUGGACCGACACUGACGCUGAGGAGCGAAAGCCAGGGGAGCAAAGCGGG
rnacentral:rRNA from 1 species